GACUAAUCUCUGGAAAAUGAACAGACAUUUCAGACUUGAUGAUUCUUACAAAGAAGCAGAUUUUUCAGGGUAGUAACCUGAGAUACUAUAACUCCAUGUAAAGAACCCUAAGACGUGCAUUUCAGGAUCAUGACUUACUUGUGAGAGAAGAGGCAAUCUGUGCCCUGCAAGGGACUAAGAUGUCAAGAGAAGGGAUUGAGAGAACUAUGGCAGGGAAAGAGGGAAGGAGCAUGGGAAGAGAAAUCGACAAACAUAUUCAAGGUAUUCAAGACAUCUAAGACAUAAGUGGAAGAGGAAACCACAAAAUAAAUGGCAGUGAUGGAAACAGCUUGUGAUUGGCAGAGCUUCACUUCUCAGAAAGCAAACCUCCCAUUCAGAAGUGUCACCAGAAAUUGCCAAAAGGGACUCAAAGAGACCCACCCUAAAAUUCAUGCUGGAGCAGGAACAAGAAAAAGCAACUAACAAAUGAAACGUGAGAGGAAGCUGGUAAUUAUUCCCACAAUCUUCUUCAGGUGAAGGAAUAAGAGUGCUACUCGUUUUCUUCUUUCU